CGGGACACGUGGUAUCCUGUCUGAAUAUGGGGGGACCAUCCUCCAAGGCUAAAUACUCCUGACUGACCGAUAGUGAACCAGUACCGUGAGGGAAAGGCGAAAAGAACCCCGGCGAGGGGAGUGAAAAAGAACCUGAAACCGUGUACGUACAAGCAGUGGGAGCACGCUUAGGCGUGUGACUGCGUACCUUUUGUAUAAUGGGUCAGCGACUUAUAUUCUGUAGCAAGGUUAACCGAAUAGGGGAGCCGAAGGGAAACCGAGUCUUAACUGGGCGUUAAGUUGCAGGGUAUAGACCCGAAACCCGGUGAUCUAGCCAUGGGCAGGUUGAAGGUUGGGUAACACUAACUGGAGGACCGAACCGACUAAUGUUGAAAAAUUAGCGGAUGACUUGUGGCUGGGGGUGAAAGGCCAAUCAAACCGGGAGAUAGCUGGUUCUCCCCGAAAGCUAUUUAGGUAGCGCCUCGUGAAUUCAUCUCCGGGGGUAGAGCACUGUUUCGGCAAGGGGGUCAUCCCGACUUACCAACCCGAUGCAAACUGCGAAUACCGGAGAAUGUUAUCACGGGAGACACACGGCGGGUGCUAACGUCCGUCGUGAAGAGGGAAACAACCCAGACCGCCAGCUAAGGUCCCAAAGUCAUGGUUAAGUGGGAAACGAUGUGGGAAGGCCCAGACAGCCAGGAUGUUGGCUUAGAAGCAGCCAUCAUUUAAAGAAAGCGUAAUAGCUCACUGGUCGAGUCGGCCUGCGCGGAAGAUGUAACGGGGCUAAACCAUGCACCGAAGCUGCGGCAGCGACGCUGAUGCGUUGUUGGGUAGGGGAGCGUUCUGUAAGCCUGUGAAGGUGUGCUGUGAGGCAUGCUGGAGGUAUCAGAAGUGCGAAUGCUGACAUAAGUAACGAUAAAGCGGGUGAAAAGCCCGCUCGCCGGAAGACCAAGGGUUCCUGUCCAACGUUAAUCGGGGCAGGGUGAGUCGACCCCUAAGGCGAGGCCGAAAGGCGUAGUCGAUGGGAAACAGGUUAAUAUUCCUGUACUUGGUGUUACUGCGAAGGGGGGACGGAGAAGGCUAUGUUGGCCGGGCGACGGUUGUCCCGGUUUAAGCGUGUAGGCUGGUUUUCCAGGCAAAUCCGGAAAAUCAAGGCUGAGGCGUGAUGACGAGGCACUACGGUGCUGAAGCAACAAAUGCCCUGCUUCCAGGAAAAGCCUCUAAGCAUCAGGUAACAUCAAAUCGUACCCCAAACCGACACAGGUGGUCAGGUAGAGAAUACCAAGGCGCUUGAGAGAACUCGGGUGAAGGAACUAGGCAAAAUGGUGCCGUAACUUCGGGAGAAGGCACGCUGAUAUGUAGGUGAAGCGACUUGCUCGUGGAGCUGAAAUCAGUCGAAGAUACCAGCUGGCUGCAACUGUUUAUUAAAAACACAGCACUGUGCAAACACGAAAGUGGACGUAUACGGUGUGACGCCUGCCCGGUGCCGGAAGGUUAAUUGAUGGGGUCAGCGCAAGCGAAGCUCUUGAUCGAAGCCCCGGUAAACGGCGGCCGUAACUAUAACGGUCCUAAGGUAGCGAAAUUCCUUGUCGGGUAAGUUCCGACCUGCACGAAUGGCGUAAUGAUGGCCAGGCUGUCUCCACCCGAGACUCAGUGAAAUUGAACUCGCUGUGAAGAUGCAGUGUACCCGCGGCAAGACGGAAAGACCCCGUGAACCUUUACUAUAGCUUGACACUGAACAUUGAGCCUUGAUGUGUAGGAUAGGUGGGAGGCUUUGAAGUGUGGACGCCAGUCUGCAUGGAGCCGGCCUUGAAAUACCACCCUUUAAUGUUUGAUGUUCUAACGUUGACCCGUGAUCCGGGUUGCGGACAGUGUCUGGUGGGUAGUUUGACUGGGGCGGUCUCCUCCUAAAGAGUAACGGAGGAGCACGAAGGUUGGCUAAUCCUGGUCGGACAUCAGGAGGUUAGUGCAAUGGCAUAAGCCAGCUUGACUGCGAGCGUGACGGCGCGAGCAGGUGCGAAAGCAGGUCAUAGUGAUCCGGUGGUUCUGAAUGGAAGGGCCAUCGCUCAACGGAUAAAAGGUACUCCGGGGAUAACAGGCUGAUACCGCCCAAGAGUUCAUAUCGACGGCGGUGUUUGGCACCUCGAUGUCGGCUCAUCACAUCCUGGGGCUGAAGUAGGUCCCAAGGGUAUGGCUGUUCGCCAUUUAAAGUGGUACGCGAGCUGGGUUUAGAACGUCGUGAGACAGUUCGGUCCCUAUCUGCCGUGGGCGCUGGAGAACUGAGGGGGG
rnacentral:rRNA from 1 species